UACCUACGGGAGGCAGCAGUGAGGAAUAUUGGUCAAUGGGCGGGAGCCUGAACCAGCCAUGCCGCGUGAAGGCGAGUGCCCUACGGGCGUUAAACUUCUUUUGUGCGGGAGCAAUAAGGGCCACGCGUGGCCCGAUGAGAGUACCGCACGAAUAAGCAUCGGCUAACUCCGUGCCAGCAGCCGCGGUAAUACGGGGGAUGCGAGCGUUAUCCGGAUUUAUUGGGUUUAAAGGGUGCGUAGGCGGGCUUUUAAGUCAGCGGUAAAAAUUCGGGGCUCAACCCCGUCCGGCCGUUGAAACUGGGGGC
rnacentral:rRNA from 1 species